CUGUGCAUGUUCAGCUCCCCUGUGCCGCACUCAAAGCUGGUGAAUCGCAGCCCACACUGGAUCAGGACAUAGAUCAUACUGCAAUUGCCAAGGGAAGGAUGGAUGGCAAGGUUUUCUCCAGAUGCAUGUGGUACUUUGCUGUCAGAAUGGACAGUAUAUGGACAAGGAGGGGUUUUUUUGAGAUGGACUUUUUCCUACCUUGGACUCGAUGUCUUUUCCAACCUUAAUGAUUCUGUGAUUCUGGGCCAUAGGAAAUACAGGGAUUUCUUGUACAGAAAAUAUUUGCUUCCAACUAAAGCCAAGUAUGGCCACGACCUCUGAGUAAGAAAAAAUUCAGGUGCAUCACAAAGAAAUUUAGCAACUUCUUGUCCAGUUUGCAUCCAGACAUGGAUCCCUUAUGAGAAGAACUCCCAGAAUUAACCACUACACAGGGAGACAGCACGAAUGAGCAGGAGUAGUCAGAGGUGACGAGGAGAUACACGAUCUGCACCACAGAGCUUAAUCCUCCCACAUAUCCUGCUCAUUUCAGCACAGCACUACAUUUUUUUUUAAUCUGCCAGAAAACCCAGCAGUUUCAUUAUGAGGAGGGCAGUAAACAUGUGAAUAACAACUGGUUUUCUACAGUAAGUACGUGCAGUAAAACUAACCACCCCCAGUACUGCUCUGUGCUUUUAAAUGUGCACAGACAAGUGAAGCAAAUCAUGCAGACACAAAACUUGGCAUGUAAAUUAAAGCAGACUAAUUGACUCUGCCUGAACUUUCUUCCCCUGAAUCCUAAACAACCUGCUGAGCAAGUGUUCUUCCUUACAGCAGUCAAAGUAAGAGGUAUUUUUAGUCUGGAAAACCAGCACUGGAGCAGUACAAAGCAGAAGGUUGGGUACACCAACCACGAGGUAUGGACUCAU